rnacentral:rRNA from 1 species
UACAGAGGGUGCAAGCGUUGUUCGGAAUCAUUGGGCGUAAAGGGUGCGUAGGCCGCACGGUAAGUCAGAUGUGAAAUCUCAGGGCUCAACUCUGAAAUUGCAUCCGAUACUGCCGUGCUUGAGGACUGGAGAGGAGUCUGGAAUUCAUGGUGGAGCAGUGAAAUGCGUAGAUAUCAUGAGGAACGCUAGUGGCGUAGGCGAGACUCUGGACAGUUCCUGACGCUGAGGCACGAAGGCCAGGGGAGCAAACGGG